UACGUAGGGUGCAAGCGUUAAUCGGAAUUACUGGGCGUAAAGCGUGCGCAGGCGGCUUUGCAAGACAGACUGUGAAAUCCCCGGGCUUAACCUGGGAACUGCAUUUGUGACUGCAUGGGCUGGAGUGCGGGCAGAGGGGGAUGGAAUUCCGGCGUGUAGCAGUGAAAUGCGUAGAGUAUGCGGAGGAACACCGAUGGCGAAGGCAAUCCCCUGGGCCUGCACUGACGCUCGAUGACACGAAAGCGUGGGGAGCAAACAGG
rnacentral:rRNA from 1 species